CAAAUUUACUUGAGCAAAUGACUGUGGAGCAGCCAUGCAGCUAUUUUGCCUUCUGGAACAGUGAUCUUAUCAAAUGUACGUGAGAACGAUGCAUCUGUGGAAACUCUGAAGUCAAAAGAUCCUGGAAAAGACAAAGAAUUGAAAUCUCCAGCUGCUACAAAAGAUAAAGAACACACUAAAGAAAAGGAAGGAAAGAAUCCUGCAGCUUUAAAAGAUAAAGAGUCUCUGAAAGGAAAAAAUCCCAAGAAUCCAGAGGGGUCAAAGGAUAAAGAGACUGGUAAAAGAAAAGAUGUGAGGCCUUCAGCAGUCUUAAAGGAAAAGGGAAAAGAAAUGAAGGUUUUGACUACAACUAAGGAGAAAGGUACUUCAGAAAAAACUCAUGAACACAAACCUGCAAAUAUUAAACAUGAAAAAGCUAUCUCUCAGAUGAAGCCAGAGGAGAAAAUUAAACAACCAAAGACAGCUCCCACUGAGAAGUCAGGUAGGAACAAGUCAUUCUUUCCUGAUUUAUGGGGGGGUGAGGGGGGUUUAAACACUGUUCAGAUUUUUCUGAUGUAG
rnacentral:lncRNA from 1 species